AGUUUUUUAGUAUAAAUAGAGUACAUCUAAUUUCCAAUUAGGGGGUUUUGAGAACUA
rnacentral:tRNA from 1 species